rnacentral:rRNA from 5 species
AAAUUGAAGAGUUUGAUCAUGGCUCAGAUUGAACGCUGGCGGCAGGCCUAACACAUGCAAGUCGAGCGGAAACGAGUUAUCUGAACCUUCGGGGAACGAUAACGGCGUCGAGCGGCGGACGGGUGAGUAAUGCCUAGGAAAUUGCCCUGAUGUGGGGGAUAACCAUUGGAAACGAUGGCUAAUACCGCAUGAUGCCUACGGGCCAAAGAGGGGGACCUUCGGGCCUCUCGCGUCAGGAUAUGCCUAGGUGGGAUUAGCUAGUUGGUGAGGUAAGGGCUCACCAAGGCGACGAUCCCUAGCUGGUCUGAGAGGAUGAUCAGCCACACUGGAACUGAGACACGGUCCAGACUCCUACGGGAGGCAGCAGUGGGGAAUAUUGCACAAUGGGCGCAAGCCUGAUGCAGCCAUGCCGCGUGU